GACGAACGCUGGCGGCGUGCUUAACACAUGCAAGUCGAACGAAGAGCGACGGAAGCUUGCUUCUAUCAAUCUUAGUGGCGAACGGGUGAGUAACGCGUAAUCAACCUGCCCUUCAGAGGGGGACAACAGUUGGAAACGACUGCUAAUACCGCAUACGAUCUAACCUCGGCAUCGAGGAUAGAUGAAAGGUGGCCUCUACAUGUAAGCUAUCACUGAAGGAGGGGAUUGCGUCUGAUUAGCUAGUUGGAGGGGUAACGGCCCACCAAGGCGAUGAUCAGUAGCCGGUCUGAGAGGAUGAACGGCCACAUUGGGACUGAGACACGGCCCAGACUCCUACGGGAGGCAGCAGUGGGGAAUCUCCCGCAAUGGACGAAAGUCUGACGGAGCAACGCCGCGUGAGUGAUGACGGCCUUCGGGUUGUAAAGCUCUGUUAAUCGGGACGAAAGGCCUUCUUGCGAAUAGUGAGAAGGAUUGACGGUACCGGAAUAGAAAGCCACGGCUAACUACGUG
rnacentral:rRNA from 1 species